rnacentral:lncRNA from 1 species
GUGAAGCUCUGCUAGAAAGUUAGAGGAAUAUAAAUAUCAAUUGGAUAUUGUAUAAUAAGUAAUGUUAGCUAAUCAGUAAGUUUUUGUUUUGUUUGUUUUUAUGCCAGGAAUUGAACCCAGGGGUGCUUAACGACUGAUCCACUUCCCCUACCCUUAUUUUUUAUUUUGAGUAGAGUCUCCCUAAGUUACUUAGGGCCUUGCUAAGUUGCUGAGGCUGACUUUGAACUUGUGAUCCUCCUGCCUCAGCCUCUUGAGCAGCUGGGAUUACAGGUGCCUGCCACCAUGCUCAACUCUAUGGCUUACUCCUGAGAACUUUUCAUAUAUUAAUUCAUUUGGUCCUAAAUCCUAUGACAUCUAUUAUUCCCUUUUAACAGAUGAGGAAAUUGGGAAAUUAAAUGAGGAAAUGAGAAGUUAUUUAACUUAUAUCACUCAGCUCUCAGAUGGAUGGUCCACAAUUCAAAAUCACAGGUGUGCGCCACCAAGCCUGACUCUAACUUUCUUUGUAUCGUGAUAAUUUUUUUUCAGUCUUUUCAAUAGCUUAAUAGCAGAUCUGUCCAUAUUCUAACUAGUUCCUUUUGAUGAAUGUUUCAAUUGUUUACAUAUAUAAACAAUUUAUAAUAUAUAUGUUUAUAAAAUAAAUUUUUUAUAUUAUUAUAUAUAUAAUAUAUAUUUGUUUAUAAUAUAUAUAUUUGCUAUUAGAAGUAAUUCUGCUAGGAUAGAUGAUACUGGCAUCUAGUUUUAUUAACUUUUUUGGUGAGGGCGUU